rnacentral:rRNA from 1 species
UACGUAGGGGGCAAGCGUUGUCCGGAAUCAUUGGGCGUAAAGCGCGUGUAGGCGGUUUGGUAAGUCCGCUCUGAAAGUCCGGGGCUCAACCCCGGAAGGCGGGUGGAUACUGUCAGACUAGAGUGCGGAGGAGGCGAGUGGAAUUCCCGGUGUAGCGGUGAAAUGCGCAGAUAUCGGGAGGAACACCAAUUGCGAAGGCAGCUCGCUGGGACGUAACUGACGCUGAGACGCGAAAGCGUGGGGAGCAAACAGG